rnacentral:rRNA from 1 species
AGCGAACGCUGGCGGCAGGCUUAACACAUGCAAGUCGAGCGGGCCCUUCGGGGUCAGCGGCGGACGGGUGAGUAACGCGUGGGAACGUGCCCUCUGGUUCGGAAUAACUCAGGGAAACUUGAGCUAAUACCGGAUACGCCCUUUUGGGGAAAGGCUUGCUGCCGGAGGAUCGGCCCGCGUCUGAUUAGCUAGUUGGUGAGGUAACGGCUCACCAAGGCGACGAUCAGUAGCUGGUCUGAGAGGAUGAUCAGCCACACUGGGACUGAGACACGGCCCAGACUCCUACGGGAGGCAGCAGUGGGGAAUAUUGGACAAUGGGCGCAAGCCUGAUCCAGCCAUGCCGCGUGAGUGAUGAAGGCCUUAGGGUUGUAAAGCUCUUUUAUCCGGGACGAUAAUGACGGUACCGGAGGAAUAAGCCCCGGCUAACUUCGUGCCAGCAGCCGCGGUAAUA